UGGGGAAUUUUGGACAAUGGGCGCAAGCCUGAUCCAGCCAUGCCGCGUGAGUGAAGAAGGCCUUCGGGUUGUAAAGCUCUUUCGGUGGGGAAGAAAUGGCACGGGUCAAUACCCUGUGUCGAUGACGGUACCCGACUAAGAAGCACCGGCUAACUACGUGCCAGCAGCCGCGGUAAUACGUAGGGUGCGAGCGUUAAUCGGAAUUACUGGGCGUAAAGCGUGCGCAGGCGGUUUGGUAAGUCAGAUGUGA
rnacentral:rRNA from 1 species